rnacentral:lncRNA from 1 species
UCAAACUUGCUGAAAUGAAAAAAAUUUUAAUAGAUAGAACUGCACUGUUCUCUAAUUAUCCAGAAGAAGGUUUUAAACAACGUAAAAGUUCAGAUAAACUUAAUGUUUUGAAUAAAAAAUUCGCAAAUGGAGAUAUCCAAUACAUCACUUUUGUAAAACAGUUGUAUUAAUUGGCGGUAAAAAUCUAGCUGAUACAAUUAAAAAUAUUUUGCUCUUACUGUCAACAGACACUAUUUUGUCAGAAU